rnacentral:rRNA from 1 species
AGUCUGGUACGGUAACGGCUACCAGCGCGACGAUCGGUAGCUGGUCUGAGAGGAUGACCAGCCACACUGGAACUGAGACACGGUCCAGACUCCUACGGGAGGCAGCAGUGGGGAAUAUUGGACAAUGGGGGCAACCCUGAUCCAGCAAUGCCGCGUGUGUGAAGAAGGCCUGAGGGUUGUAAAGCACUUUCAGUGGGGAGGAGGAUUGUUUGUUUAAGAGAUGAAUGAUUGGACGUUACCCACAGAAGAAGCACCGGCUAACUCCGUGCCAGCAGCCGCGGUAAUACGGAGGGUGCAAGCGUUAAUCGGAAUUACUGGGCGUAAAGGGUGCGUAGGUGGUUAUGUAAGUUAUGUGUGAAAUCCCUGGGCUCAACCUGGGCAGGUCAUAUAAUACUGCAUGACUCGAGUGUGGGAGAGGGUAGUGGAAUUUCCGGUGUUGCGGUGAAAUGCUUAGAGAUCGGAAAGGAACACCAGUGUCGAAAGCGGCUACCUGGCCUAACACUGCCACUGUCGUACUAUAACGUGGGAGAGCAACACGAUUAAAUACCCUGAUAGUACUCACCAAUAAAGAUGUCGACCACCUGUAGCUCAUAUAUUAUAAUUAUUGA